GAUGAACGCUAGCGGGAGGCUUAACACAUGCAAGUCGAGGGGUAAAUGGUAGCAAUACUAUGAGACCGGCGAACGGGUGCGUAACGCGUAUGCAACUUACCUUAUGCAGGGGGAUAGCCCGUGGAAACGCGGAUUAAUAUCCCAUAGAUCAGUAAUAUCGCAUGGUAUAACUGGUAAAACUCAGGUGGCAUAAGAUGGGCAUGCGUCUGAUUAGCUAGUUGGUAGGGUAACGGCCUACCAAGGCGACGAUCAGUAGGGGGUUCUGAGAGGAUUUAACCCCC
rnacentral:rRNA from 1 species